CGCCCUUAGAGUUUGAUCAUGGCUCAGAUUGAACGCUGGCGGCAGGCCUAACACAUGCAAGUCGAGCGGUAGGAGAGCUUGCUCUCCACGAGCGGCGGACGGGUGAGUAAUGUCUGGGAAACUGCCUGAUGGAGGGGGAUAACUACUGGAAACGGUAGCUAAUACCGCAUAACGUCGCAAGACCAAAGCGGUUCGUCGCGCCAUCAGAUGUGCCCAGAUGGGAUUAGCUAGUAGGUGGGGUAAUGGCUCACCUAGGCGACGAUCCCUAGCUGGUCUGAGAGGAUGACCAGCCACACUGGAACUGAGACACGGUCCAGACUCCUACGGGAGGCAGCAGUGGGGAAUAUUGCACAAUGGGCGCAAGCCUGAUGCAGCCAUGCCGCGUGUGUGAAGAAGGCCUUCGGGUUGUAAAGCACUUUCA
rnacentral:rRNA from 1 species